rnacentral:lncRNA from 10 species
AGCAAUCAGCGAGACUCCAUGGGCGUAGGACCCUCGGAGCCAGGUGCGGGAUGUAAUCUCGUGGUGCGCCGUUUUUUAAGCCCGUCGGAAAAGCGCAAUAUUCGGGUGGGAGUGACCCGAUUUUCCAGGUAGAGACACUUUUGACUUGAUCUCUGCAGUCCUCAACAUGCCAUCUUCUAUCCCAAGGGCAGCCAUCUUCUAUCCCAAGGGCAGCCAUCUUCUAUCCUGAGGGAAGCUGGCCUGAGGAUGAAGCCAGAAUAUGGAGAAGAGGAGAAGGAGAUGGCUGAGAAGCAGAACGGAAACCUGAACUGCAUUUUUCUUAGAGCAAGAAUUACAUCAAUUCUUCAAGCCAAGUUGAGCACUGUUGGUUUCUGCUACUUGGAACUGAAUAAACUCUGACAGAUACUGUACAGGGAACAGUACUUGGGGAGCUCCACUUCAUCUGAGGCCUUCGUGAGUGGCUUGUGUCACAUUCCUGGCUGUUCAGGCAUCAGUCCUGGUUUCCUGGUGAGCUCUCUGCUGACUCCACCCAGAGCUCCCUUGCUUCCG